GUGCCAGCCGCCGCGGUAAUACGGAGGGUGCAAGCGUUGUCCGGAAUCACUGGGUGUAAAGGGUGUGCAGGCGGGGCAGCAAGUCGGAUGUGAAACCCCAUGGCUUAACCAUGGAGGUGCAUUCGAAACUGUUGCUCUUGAGUCCCGGAGAGGUUGCCGGAAUUCGUGGUGUAGCGGUGAAAUGCGUAGAUAUCACGAGGAACACCAGAGGCGAAAGCGGGCAACUGGACGGGUACUGACGCUCAGGCACGAAAGCGCGGGGAGCAAACAGGAUUAGAAACCCCUGUAGUCC
rnacentral:rRNA from 1 species